AGUGAACGCUGGCGGCGUGCCUAAUACAUGCAAGUCGAACGGUAAGGCCCUUCGGGGUACACGAGUGGCGAACGGGUGAGUAACACGUGGGUGAUCUGCCCUGCACUUCGGGAUAAGCCUGGGAAACUGGGUCUAAUACCGGAUAGGACCACUGCCUGCAUGGGUGGUGGUGGAAAGCUUUUGCGGUGUGGGAUGGGCCCGCGGCCUAUCAGCUUGGUGGUGGGGUGAUGGCCUACCAAGGCGACGACGGGUAGCCGGCCUGGGAGGGUGACCGGCCACACUGGGACUGAGAUACGGCCCAGACUCCUACGGGAGGCAGCAGUGGGGAAUAUUGCACAAUGGGCGCAAGCCUGAUGCAGCGACGCCGCGUGAGGGAUGACGGCCUUCGGGUUGUAAACCUCUUUCAGCACCGACGAAGCGCAAGUGACGGUAGGUGCAGAAGAAGGACCGGCCAACUACGUGCCAGCCGCCGCGGUAA
rnacentral:rRNA from 1 species